CCUACGGGUGGCAGCAGUAGGGAAUCUUCCACAAUGGACGAAAGUCUGAUGGAGCAACGCCGCGUGAGUGAUGAAGGGUUUCGGCUCGUAAACCUCUGUUGGUAGUGAAGAACGAUAGAGGUAGUAACUGGCCUUUAUUUGACGGUAAUUACUUAGAAAGUCACGGCUAACUCCGUGCCAGCAGCCGCGGUAAUACGUAGGUUGCAAGCGUUUUCCGGAUUUAUUGGGCGUAAAGCGAUCGCAGGCGGUACAUGAAGUCUAGUGUGAAAGCCCUCGGCUCAACGGGAGAAUUGCAUCAGAAACUGGUGAACUUGAGUGCAGAAGAGGAUAGUGGAACUCCAGGUGUAGCGGUGGAAGGCGUAGAUAUAUGGAGGAACACCAGUGGCGAAGGCGACUCUCUGG
rnacentral:rRNA from 1 species